ACAGAGCUAGCGCCUCUCUGGGUGUCCGUGCCAGUGCUGCGCGGGAAGGCACCACCACCACAGCCGCCGCCGCUGGCCAGGGUGCUGGACAAGACGGGCCCGUCGGCCACCUCGCCAGCUCAGGCACCCGCUGCAGCCGUCGCUGUCUCCUCCCAGACCGGUCCCCAUGGAGGAGAUGGAAGAGGAGUUGAAAUGCCCCGUGUGCGGCUCCUUCUAUCGGGAGCCCAUCAUCCUGCCCUGCUCUCACAAUUUGUGUCAGGCGUGCGCCCGCAACAUCCUGGUGCAGACCCCAGAGUCUGAAUCCCCCCAGAGCCAUCGGGCCGCGGGCUCCGGGGUCUCCGACUAUGACUAUCUGGACCUGGACAAGAUGAGCCUAUACAGCGAGGCGGACAGCGGCUAUGGCUCCUACGGGGGGUUCGCCAGCGCCCCCACUACCCCGUGCCAGAAGUCCCCCAACGGCGUCCGCGUGUUUCCCCCGGCUAUGCCGCCACCGGCCACCCACUUGUCACCGGCCCUGGCCCCGGUGCCCCGCAACUCCUGUAUCACCUGCCCCCAGUGUCACCGCAGCCUCAUCCUGGAUGACCGGGGGCUCCGCGGCUUCCCCAAGAAUCGCGUACUGGAAGGGGUAAUUGACCGCUACCAGCAGAGCAAAGCCGCGGCCCUCAAGUGCCAGCUCUGCGAGAAGGCGCCCAAGGAAGCCACCGUCAUGUGCGAACAGUGCGAUGUCUUCUACUGCGAUCCGUGCCGCCUGCGCUGCCACCCGCCCCGGGGGCCCCUAGCCAAGCACCGCCUGGUGCCCCCGGCCCAGGGUCGUGUGAGCCGGAGGCUGAGCCCACGCAAGGUCUCCACCUGCACAGACCACGAGCUGGAGAACCACAGCAUGUACUGCGUGCAAUGCAAGAUGCCCGUGUGCUACCAGUGCUUGGAGGAGGGCAAACACUCCAGCCACGAAGUCAAGGCUCUGGGGGCCAUGUGGAAACUACAUAAGAGCCAGCUCUCCCAGGCGCUGAACGGACUGUCAGACAGGGCCAAAGAAGCCAAGGAGUUUCUGGUACAGCUGCGCAACAUGGUCCAGCAGAUCCAGGAGAACAGUGUGGAGUUUGAAGCCUGUCUGGUGGCCCAAUGUGAUGCCCUCAUCGAUGCCCUCAACAGAAGAAAAGCCCAGCUGCUGGCCCGCGUCAACAAGGAGCAUGAGCACAAGCUGAAGGUGGUUCGAGAUCAGAUCUCUCACUGCACAGUGAAAUUGCGCCAGACCACAGGUCUCAUGGAGUACUGCUUGGAGGUGAUUAAGGAAAAUGAUCCUAGUGGUUUUUUGCAGAUUUCUGACGCCCUCAUAAGAAGAGUGCACCUGACUGAGGAUCAGUGGGGUAAAGGCACACUCACUCCAAGGAUGACCACGGACUUUGACUUGAGUCUGGACAACAGCCCUCUGCUGCAAUCCAUCCACCAGCUGGAUUUCGUGCAAGUGAAAGCUUCCUCUCCAGUCCCAGCAACCCCUAUCCUACAGCUGGAGGAAUGUUGUACCCACAACAACAGCGCUACGUUGUCCUGGAAACAGCCACCUCUGUCCACGGUGCCCGCCGAUGGAUACAUUCUGGAGCUGGAUGAUGGCAACGGUGGUCAAUUCCGGGAGGUGUAUGUGGGGAAGGAGACAAUGUGCACUGUGGAUGGUCUUCACUUCAACAGCACAUACAACGCUCGGGUCAAGGCCUUCAACAAAACAGGAGUCAGCCCGUACAGCAAGACCCUGGUCCUCCAAACGUCUGAGGUUUGCAUUGAUCUUACAUUUAGACACAGAUUCAGAAGAACAGACCCUCCCUUUUCCAGUGCCUUCGGAAAGAUUGCCGCUCCGUAGAAUGAGUCCUUUCUCCUCCACCCUUAAUCUACAACCCAGCUUCCCCGGGAGAUCCUACUUUGAUUUCCGAUCCUCACCCCACCAGCUGAGCUUGCAUUCCUCUUUACAGUCUCUCAAUGCACCGGGAUGCAAUUUUGAGACACAAUCUGCACCUUACUCUCAAUUAGUUGACAUUAAAAAGCUGUUGGCAGGACUCUAGCUCCUAGCCUCCCCGCCUCAGGGGUUACACAGGCAUCUUAGCGCAUCCCCUCUCCCUUUAUGUCUCUGGUGCACUGUUCUGCCAGUCACCAGGUGAAGGGACUUGCACCUUCCAAAAUCGAUGCCACUUCACUCCCGGAUCACCUGGUUGGGAGUGCAGUCUGAGCCAGUGGCCUGGUUUGCUUUCGACCCUGGCUCGGCGCACUCGGACAUCAUCCUCUCCAAUGACAACCUGACAGUGACCUGUAGUAGCUAUGAUGACCGGGUGGUGCUAGGGAAGACUGGCUUCUCCAAGGGCAUCCACUACUGGGAGCUCACGGUAGAUCGCUAUGACAACCACCCUGAUCCUGCCUUUGGUGUGGCUCGCAUGGACGUGAUGAAGGAUGUGAUGUUAGGAAAAGACGACAAAGCUUGGGCAAUGUAUGUGGACAAUAACCGGAGCUGGUUCAUGCACAACAACUCGCACACCAACAGAACUGAGGGAGGGAUCACAAAAGGGGCCACAAUUGGGGUCCUCCUCGACUUAAAUAGAAAAAACUUGACAUUUUUUAUCAACGAUGAACAACAAGGUCCCAUAGCAUUUGAUAACGUGGAGGGCCUCUUCUUCCCUGCGGUCAGCCUGAACAGGAACGUGCAGGUCACGCUGCACACCGGGCUCCCAGUCCCCGACUUCUACUCCAGCAGAGCAUCAAUAGCCUAAGGAUGUGCCGUGGAGGCGCCAGCUGCCUGUUCUUACCUCCGCCUGCGAGAGCCACAGCAAGGAGCUCAGCCAGCCGUGGUGGGGUGCAGAGUUGGCAGGAGUGGGAGAAGGAGGAGAGAAAAGCUGGUCCUCUGCAGUCUUUACACCCACAGCUCUGCCCUUUUCCCUUUCAACCUCUCCUCCGCUGUCAUGCCUGCUUCCGCUUCCAUGUCCAACAAUUCUAACCAACAAAGGACCUAGACAGCCCACCAAGUCACUUGGUUCCCACUCCCAGAUUUUGCUUUUAUUUAACUUAAUUUUUUAUGUAGGUGAGUUAUAUUUUCUUUCUUUUCUGAUCAGGUUAUUGGUGACUUACUGGACUGGCACCGCCAGGAGAAAAUUCUCCUGCUAACUUUUUUUCUUAAGCUUUCUGUCAAACAAUGAGGUUGUAGGGGGAGGUAGGGAAGAAUGAGCUGAAUUUGUAGCAUACAGCUUACCUGCUAGAAUGUUCUUACCCUCUUACCUCUCCUGUAGCGUUAGCUCUGCAGAGCUAAGCUUUGGGAGAAUGAAUCUAUCACUGAGAAGUUUUACUACUCAUUGAAGCACAAAAAUAUCCGCUACACAGGUUCACAUCAGGGUAGGAUCGUUAGGAUGGCUCUAUAAUUAGGAUAGGCCAGAACCCUGGCCACUGUAUAAAAUUGGAAAGUCUCUAAGACACAGGCAAACCAGGGGACUUAAUGAUUUGGUUCGUUUAUUUAAUAAAAGCUUUUAAUUGAGAACCUACUAUUGACCAGGCACUGUUCAAGACACUAGAACAUUAUGUUCUAGACACUGUGGGGACACAGUGGUGAACAGACAGGCAUGGUCUCUGCCCUUCGGAGCUUAUAUUCCAGUAGGAGAAAAAGCAAAAAUAAAAUAAUUAUAAAUGGUCAUAUGUACUAGAAAGGAAAUGGGCAAGGGUCAAAGAGACUCAUGGGCAAGAUCUUUCAGGCUUCCUAGAAUGAUGCUAAAAAUCCACACAUUCUGGCCAUAGCACCAGAAAUGUACCAACUCAAUGCCUUUUCAGCUGCACUAUUUAAUUAUGGUACCUGCUGCCACUCAUCACAGAGCCCUUCUUGGUAGAAAUGAUGUCAGCAUUCUUAUUUGCUGAUGCUGCUAUGAUACCACGCCUUAAAAAUUGACAGUUGAAAAAAAAAAGAGUGACCAGAGGGCAAAGGACCCAUUCUCAGUAAUGGGAGAUCUUGAGUUGCAGUCCACAGCAUUCACAUUCUCAGGAUAAACAUGCUUGUCUCCAUAUAUACUAUCUGUGCCUGUUAUGAAUGAAAAAUCCAUCCACUCUGCUGCCAUUCACAGCCUAAUUUUCUGGAGUAGUCCAAACAAUGUUUGGAAAAACAUGGGACUGUAUGUCAUUACUAUGACUGAUAGCAGAAUAAUAAUGCAUCUUACUUCUAUAUAGAGAUAGACUUACAUAGGUUACCCUUGAAAUUCAUUAGUUUGUCAUAAAGUUUUAGGAAAGGUAGGACCCGGAAAGAAGUUCUAAUUAGUUGUCUAAAUAUUUUUCAGUGAGCCAAGAAAUUCACCAUGAAAAAACAAGAAUAACAAAUAGAAGGGAAGAGAUAGGAUGGGAAAGCUAACAAAUUAAAGUUUUGGCAAAAAGGAAUAUAUGUAAAUAGCUAAUUAUUUACUUUUGUGCUUACUUUAUUUAGAUUAUUUCUAUCAGUUACAAUCUUUUUCUAGUUAAGUGUACCUAAUUUAUGGAAUGGGUGCUAUCCUGUUUAUGUGUGUCUUGGUUUUUCUUGGCUACAGAAAAACUGUUGCAGGGCAACACUAGUUUGAUAUUUGAUUUACUCUCCAAUGAGACUCAAUGGCUGGGCCGUGGUAGACUCAUAGUUCCUCUUGUUCUUUAUUAAAUUCAUCCUGCUAAUUAGAUUUCUAGUGACUUGUAACAUGUAGUUUACACUGAAUUGCAAUUACAGAUGCAUACAACUACUAUACUAGAAAAAAUUGUCAUUUCUGAUGUGCCAAUAAAUGAUUUUUAUGAGAGAA